AGGAGGAAGGUAGUGUAGUUAACACCUGCAUUAUUGUACGUUACCUACAGAAGAAGACACCGGCUAACUCCGUCGCCAGCAGCCGCGGUAAUACGGGAGGGUGCGAGCGUUAAGUCGGAAUUACUGGGACGUAAAGCGCAUGCAGGCGGCCUGUUAAGUCAGAUGUAGAAAGGCCCGGGGACCGUUAACCCGUACCGGUAAAGUUGCUAUUUAGUAAACGUAGGCGAGGCUAGAGUCUUGUAGAGGGGGUAGGAAUUUCAGGUGUAGCGGUGAAAUGCGUAGAGAUCUGAAGGAAUACCAGUGGCGAAGGCGGCCCCCUGGACAAAGACUGACGCUCAGAUGCGAAAGCGUGGGGAGCAAACAGGAUUAGAUACCCUGGUAG
rnacentral:rRNA from 1 species